AACAAAAUAUUUUCAAAUUAUUUUUCCUAUGAUGAGGAAUAUUAUAAUUGAGUGAGUGCACUAAUAUUAGUGCUAUAUUUAUUUUAAUUUGGUCACAUGAAUAAUUAUGCUAUGACAUUUCAUUAAUUGUGACUAGUUUUCCAUGAUUUAAUUCUUGUGGCUUAGCACAUGGUUUAUUUUCCACCACACAAUACUACACUCUCACUUGAUUAUUAUAAUCAAUUAGACAUGUGUGUUUUAAUCAAGAGGCUUAGUGGGUAAGCUUGAGCAUUUACUUGUUGGCUAAGUUUGGAAGCAAGUGGAGGAUUUUAAACAAAACACUUUCUCUUUAUUCUCACUUCUUCCCUAACUCACGGCCUCACCCUUUUCUCUCUCUAAUCUUCCUUUCCUCCAUUAAUCCUCCAUGAUCGAAGAACACCAAGCUUUUUUUUAGAUCAUCUCUACACCCAAGUCUUCCAAAGAUAUUGAUCUAAACACCUCUAUUUCCUUGGUAAAACCUAGAAGAUUAGUGGAGAUACAAGCUUGAAGGUUGGAAAGAAGAUUUUAUUUUUCUCUUUGAUUUACUUGAGCUUUGUGAUGACCAGGAGGAUUAGCGCUACUUUUCCAAGACAGGUUUAUAUGUGUAUGAUCUUCAGGCUUUGCCUAUCCAGGUUGAGCAGCUGAUGGAAUGGAAUGGUGUUGAGCGGGUGUUCCUUUGACAUUUCAAGAAAUGUAACCUUGAGUAUACAUCUUCAUAUGUAUAUCUCACACGUUUUCCGCUGCAAAACACUUUGAUUAGGAUAACUCUAUGUUAUAAAGUUGUGACACGUGUUAUUGGGUAACCCACCUUAAUUAGUUCUCCUUUAUGUGUAUGUUUUAUAAGUAUCCAAAUAAUCAUAUAUGAUCCUAGCAUUUUAUCUAUGAGUGACAUUUCCAUA